rnacentral:misc_RNA from 1 species
AACCUAUAAACCAUGCAAUGGGUUUUGUGCUGGGCGUUCGCCUCUGGGCGUCGCCUCAAAGUCAUCUGUCUAACGAGCGGACGAGAUCCUUUUGGACUGACCGUUUGUGGACUCUAAACCUCUG